ACAGCGAGAAAACGUGUGUGCGAAAUUGCUUAUAUUAAUACUUCCUUUCUGAGUAUCAGGUGUUGUAAUUAUCAGCAUAAUAUUAUCAGGUUAUAAAAACAGAAGUUGCUAUAGCGACUAAUAUCAUAACCUGACCGGAGCUGCUCAGAAACCACCAAUUAAAAAGAAUCCUAUAAACCGGCAAUUGGUGCUCAGUCGGCAAACGGAACACUAAGGCUAACUUACCUUAUUGAUCAAGCCGAACAUAUGAGAUCUUCGUUAAGUGCGGACAACAUACUAAACG